ACCACCUUCUAGUGUUUUACAGUGUAAAAAAUAGCAUAAAUAUUUGAAUAAUUCAGAUUUUCCUCCUCUGGUUCUGUGAUGACAUUUUAAGUCUGUUUCACCAAACCCAAAACAAUCUAAAGUAGAAACCAUCACAACCAACAGAGUUUUGGUUGUGAUGGUUUACGGCCCAGUUAGCGGCUCGUUGCGUUUCAUGACGCUGACGUCCGUCUGUACGGAGACAUGAGGAGGAAUGUCAGAAGAAGUGAUUUAUCGGCGUCGUGUAGGUGUGAAAGCUCAGCCAAAUGCUUUAUGGCCAGAUACACUUAGCUGUGUUUGGGCCGGUGAGGGAGGCUAAGCUAACGGGGAACGAGUUACGCUUCAAAGGGUCAGAGAGAAGAGGACAUUUAGAAAUAAAAGAGGAUGAAAGUCUAUUCAGAAAUCCUUAUCAGACUGCAGCAGCCGCUUGGUAAGAGGUAACUUUCUAACUUGACUUUGUGAUAAGAAUUAAAACUAAAUGUUUCAAUCAUCAAACGCUGAUUAUAGAUACAUGUGCCAAUGCGUGUGCCAGUUUUUCUGAUUAUAGCUCACAAACCCCUGCUCCCUGGCGUCAUUCGACAAGACUUGCCCCAUUUAGGAAAUUCAGGCUCCCACCGCCGUAAUCGGUUCUGGCACGCUGUGGGCUCCGUCUCUGCUAGGCCCCGCGUUCUGGAUCGGUUUUAAUUCCAGAGCAUAACAGCAAAAUGUCCAGGGUUUAUCACAAGGUCCAACUAAUUGACCGUCUGUACGGAGCUGCGGAGCGCUGACUCAGCACUUAACCGGCAGCCGCUAAAUGGGCUGAAGGGAAAGAGGAACAUGGCUGGACGUGAAGAGCAGAGCAGCAACAUCCGCACUGCUUUUACUAAACCUCUACCUGAAAUGGAGGCACAAGCAGCGUUCAUCGGAUGUCUGCGAGACAAACGUCCAGCAGGAUUACUUAUUUAGAUAACCUGAAACCCAAUUUAGGCAUUUUUCAUUUACAUUUCUGUAAAACCAGCAGAUUGUUUAGUGUCUGGCUUCAGUUCAUGUCCUCAAGUAAGUAAAAACCAACACAUGAAGAUACUUUAAACUACAAUGAAGUAGUGGAAUCAAACCAGGAUGUCAAAGGGCAUAAAGACUGCUCCAUUAUAUUCAUGAGACACGGGACAAAGAGAACAGAGCUGUGUUCAGGUUGUGAACUGAUUCACUACUACAAGCCAAAGAGUCGGCCAUUUUGUUGUGGUGCUUGAAAACGCUCACUAAGUUUGCCAUUAAUAAACUAAAGGAAAGAAACGUGCAAAGCAUUGGUUAAAACAAAAAAUAAUGCGCUGCAGCCUCAGAGUUAACCAAGUGUGCUAAUGCUAGCGCUAAUGUGGCUAAAUACUUUCAUUUUCACUCAAAUUGAAAACUCAAACUUAUCCAGAACGCAGAUUGUCUGAGCAACUUUCUUUAUGAGCAACGAGUUUAUUAGCCCUGUGCGCGUGACGUCACUCCACCCAGAACUCCGCCCACUCCGCCAUGACGGACCAAGACAACCAAUGGGCUCCUUUAAAGCUCGUUUGACUUCUGUAACCUGAUAUCGCUUCUGUUUAUUUGAUUUCAUUUUAGAAAUGGUCAUAGGAUGCUGCGCGGUCGGCUGCAUAACCAAACAAGGAUACAAACCAAACUUGGUAUUUUAUUUCAUAACUUUUAAUGAGGAAAGAUGCGGCAGCGAUGACAGCAGCUGUUAAUCAUAACGACUGUCAGCCUCGGGGUCAUCGUGGAUUUGUAGCGAAGGGUUUUUACAAGGCUUUCGUAACCAGAUUUCUGGUUCUGGGAGGCGUCKUGAUCCGUUUAGCGUGACUCUACCUGGAGACGACAUGAGCCUGCAGCUCGCCGUUGCGUUUAUGACGAAAAGCUGAAUACAGUGGAAAAAGAGCGGCGAACGAUCGGGCCGCCGACCUUCAGGGAGAAGGUGGGUUCUGGACGCCGCUCCACCAGAAACGAGGCACACGGUGUCCGGUUCUGGACGGGCCAAACGGGUCGCCGUCUGUGGAACAUGCUGAGCUACAGAUGAUGCUUCGUCAGCRGAUUUCUGCUGUGCCUUUCUGGACGUGACCAAAACGGAGCUGAACCUGCAGGAUAAACGGGCAGCAACAGGACGGCCGGGUCCGGAUCCUGUCAGCGCAAAGUUUCCAUCGUGGAGCGAAUAAAGAAGGUUGCACCUCUUCACAUAGCGUGACGGAGGAGCAGAGAGGACGAAGCCUGAUUGGGGUCACUUUGCCGUGUGACAUACAUGGAAGGAC